UGUUCUGUGGCUUAGCUUGUUAAAGCGCCGAUCUUGCGAAUACGGGUUGUGAGUUUGAAUCCCACCAGAACGC
rnacentral:tRNA from 1 species